CUCCCGCCCCACUCCCUGGGCCUGCUGGUGGUAAAAGGCUUGUGGGGUGGUUUCUGGUUACUCUGCCCCUAAUUUCAGCCUGCUUUUUUUAAGUCUUGUAACUGGGUGGCAAGUUCUGUCCCUCCAGGGGGAUGUAACACUCUUCUAUUUGCUCACCGUCUUAGCGGGAGUUAUACCCUGCACACAGCUGCUGAGUAAAUUCUGCUGACUCACUAUGGCAGGUGAAUGCAGAGUGUCAGCUUCACAAGAUUGUGAGGGGCGGGGCUGGGGCAUAGUAUUACACUCUGCUUAGAAAUAGCUAAGGACAGUGAGGGGACAGUCCAACAGGAAGCUCUGGGAGCAAUUAUGUCUGCAGAGAAAACAUAGGAUUGUCGAAUAGGAAUAAUAGAUUCAUUUUGCAGCCACCAUUUCUCCCUUGUUUCCGGAGAUUUGCCAUCACAGACAUGGAAGGUAGAUCAAGAGUUUAGGAUGGAAGCUGCUGCCAGUCCUUUAACCAAUUUGCUGCAAUAUUCAGAAAGCUACAGCAAGGAUCUCAUGAAGCUGUGGAUGCAUGUGCCUAAGCCCCAAAAGAGCUUAAAAUUGCUAUUUGAAAUAGUUAUUUGAAAUUAUUUACAUAGUCGCAUACAGAGAAAUAUCAUAAUGAUUUUUUGUGAGAAACUUUAAAGAAACCAUAGUUUUAAAAAAUGGAAUAAAUUGUUAGACCCUUGAAGUAAACAUGAAGACAAGCACAGGACACUGAAAACAAAGGAAGAUGGAAAUGCAUGCAUGGGGCAGAGAGCUGCGUUUCAGGGUGGAUAUGGGCACCAGAAUAAGAUAGUGUUGAGCAAGCUGAAUACUGGCUUUUUGAUAUCAUCUCCCAGUUUUGUAGAAGCCCUUCCGAAAGGGCUUUUGAGACUAUAUUGCCUUACAUGGCACGUUGCCUUUGGGGCUGAGGAGCGUGAUACUGUUCAGAGUUGCCCUCUUCACUAGCUCAGCCUCUUUGGUGCACCCAUGGAGUACUUCUGCGCAGUCAGAGAGAAUGGGACAGAAGGGAAAGAUGCAGUGAAGCUGGUGCUUCCUUCACUUAUGUUUGAUACUGUUCCCCACUGCACAUGGGGUAAUAGAGGUGAAAAAGGACCUACUGGACCAUCUUGUUCAUCCUCGCUCUUUCUGCCAAUGUAGAAAUGUUCCUCCAGUACUUUGAGUGUAUUGUUCAGUCUAGUUAUACAUGACCCAAUCAAUGGGGCUUCCAAUGUGAUUCUUGGGACAAAGAUUGCAAACCAGAGUUAUUUAAAUGGUGCAUCUAUGAGAUGUAAACAUUCAGUUCACCAAUCAAUCAGCAAUUUGUUUACAGCAAUUCAUAGUAAAGAACCUGUAGUUGUUUCUGAAAACCCUUGGGAAUAAUUCACUCAGUUACUGACCUAUUUGCUGUCUUCGUGUUCGCUAUUCAGUCAGUGUCAGUGUAAAUUUUCAAUAUUGCCAGGGAAGAAUCUAUAAACCUUCCUGUUAAUGCAGAAGAAUAAAUCACUAAACAAUAUUCUUUCAUCCAUCAAUCUACUGGUAUGCUCAGAAGAUGUACUGCUGGUAUCUUAGGCAUUGUCAGGAUGUUGUUUUCAUGAGAAAAUCAUUCCUGUCACAUGUCAAAUUCAAAAAUACAGCACGUCAGUAUAAAUGUGAUGUGGAACAUUGUUAUGAGAGAUUCAGAAAAAUCAUACAGUCCUCAGUAAUUCAUCAUUUCAAGACUCUAAUCCUUUUGUUGCUCAGUCUAAACAAACCAGGUAAAAACAUGGCUAAUCAGACAGACUUGAAUAUGGCUCAGAGGAGGCUUUAAAGUCUACAUAAGGAAGUCGGUGUUUCCCACUGAGGAAGAGCCUUGAUUUUAAAUAGAGAUGGCCAAGUCAGAGACCCAACUGGGGACAGGAGGAGAACAAGGAAGUUAUUGGGAUGAAACUGAAGAAAUAUGUGGAACUCGUUGGGUUGGGAGUUGUGUUUGUAUUUAUUUGCAGAAAUAAAAGAAAUAUAAAAUGUAAACAAGCAGGGUUGUCACAAGGACAGUCUGCAGAUGUGAGUUUUACACACACUCAUUCAGUUCCUCUAGUAAUUUUUUAGGCUAUAAACAAAAAUGGAUUUUUAAUAGCAAAGUGGGCUAGUUCAGACUUGGAUAUCCACAGUUAGGACCAAAUAUUUCCCUCUCAUCUGCUCCUUGGACACAUUUCUUGCCCCACUUUUCAGUUUGCUAAUCUCCUCCAUGUAUGCCUCUCUUCUUUGGGUUCUUUUCAUGACUCCAGUUCUGCAUCCACAACAUGAAAGGCUUCAGGGUUUGGGAAGCUAGGUUAAGUCAGUUGGGUAACCCUCCUUCUAGCCCUUAGCACCAGCAUGACUAUUGUUGCAUUACACCACAAAACCUACCAUUUUAAGAGUAUAAACCCUGAUUCUGCACAUGACUCCGACCAAACAAAGCCCCACUGAAGUUACCGGGGCUCCUCCAAUGUGGAAUCAGUUGCAGGGUUGGGGUCUUAAAUGAUAUAGAUUUUUAUCAUAUGGUGUCGUUCUGCUUCGGGACAAUUAUGUCUCCAAUUUCCCACAAGGAAAAAGUUUAGGUAACCUGAAUGCUAUACAAGUAGUAUAUGUUUUAUAUAUUGUAUUAUGAGAUAUGAAGCUAAAGGAAAAUGUACCCUUUUAUGUGUGUUAGAUAUUAUUUUAUACUCAUCUGUAUGUUGACUCUUGAGACACUAUCACAAGGUUCAUAUAUGUUGUUAGCUAUAAAUGUAUUACAGUCACACACACACAACUUCUCAUACACUAACCACUUAAGAUAACAUGUUUUUCAUUGACUGAUUUUAUAAUGGGUUUAACCCUCUAAGAAAUACUUAUUCUCACCUAAGAUAUUAAUAUUCAUUCCUUAUAAAGUGGUUGUAUAUUUUAGCCAAGUCUGCUAUAGUGUUUCUCCCCUUAUAAAAUAAUAAUUUUAAUUCACCUUCAACCAUUCCUCCCACAAAAAAACUCGAGAGAAACUGAAAACAAUGUAAGUGAUGCUAACAUAAAUAUUGUUUUCAUUAUUUUAUCAUUAUUUCAAUAACCCAUUAUACCAUUAGGUUGCUAAAUAUUUGAGUGUGAUUUUAAAGUACUGUAUAAUACUGAAUACCGACAAUGCAUUUGGUCAAAUAUAAAGAAUCG